CGUUUGACGUUAGCGACAGAAGAAAGCACCGGCUAACUCCGUGCCAGCAGCCGCGGUAAUACGGAGGGUGCGAGCGUUAAUCGGAAUUACUGGGCGUAAAGCGCAUGCAGGUGGUUUGUUUAAGUCAGAUGUGAAAGACCCGGGGCGUCAACCUCGGAAUAGCAUUUGAAACUGGCAGACUAGAGUACUGUAGAGGGGGGGUAGGAAUUUCUAGGUGUAGCGGUGAAAUGCGUAGAGAUCUGAAGGAAUACCGGUGGCGAAGGCGGCCCCCUCGGACAGAUACUGACACUCAGAUGCGAAAGCGUGGGGAGCAAACAGGAUUAGAUACCCCUGGUAG
rnacentral:rRNA from 1 species